AAUUUGGACCUGAUAUCAGACAAGCUACCCGCUGAAUUUAAGCAUAUCAAUAA
rnacentral:rRNA from 1 species